rnacentral:rRNA from 1 species
GACGAACGCUGGCGGCGUGCUUAACACAUGCAAGUCGAACGGAAAGGCCUCUUUCGGGGGGUACUCGAGUGGCGAACGGGUGAGUAACACGUGAGUAACCUGCCCUUGACUUUGGGAUAACUUCAGGAAACUGGGGCUAAUACCGGAUAGGAGCUCCUGCUGCAUGGUGGGGGUUGGAAAGUUUCGGCGGUUGGGGAUGGACUCGCGGCUUAUCAGCUUGUUGGUGGGGUAGUGGCUUACCAAGGCGUUGACGGGUAGCCGGACUGAGAGGGUGACCGGCCACAUUGGGACUGAGAUACGGCCCAGACGCCGACGGGAGGCAGCAGGGGGGAAUAUUGCACAAUGGGUGGAAGCCUGAUGCAGCAACGCCGUGUGCGGGAUGACGGCCUUCGGGUUGUAAACCGCUUUCGCUCAUGACGAAGCUUUGUGUGACGGUAGUGGGUAAAGAAGCACCGGCUAACUACGUG